ACGGGGCUGCCCUCCCCUGCGCACUCCCCUCGCUGCCCGGGCCCGGAGCGCAGCGCGGCCGCGCAGAUUCACAAUGUUGAAAGCCCUUUUCCUAACUAUGCUGACUCUGGCGCUGGUCAAGUCACAGGACACCGAAGAAACCAUCACGUACACGCAAUGCACUGACGGAUAUGAGUGGGAUCCUGUGAGACAGCAAUGCAAAGAAGAUUCCUGACUUAUUUUAUUACUGACCACAGAUAUUGAUGAAUGUGACAUUGUCCCAGACGCUUGUAAAGGUGGAAUGAAGUGCGUCAACCACUAUGGAGGAUACCUCUGCCUUCCGAAAACAGCCCAGAUUAUUGUCAAUAAUGAACAGCCUCAGCAGGAAACACAACCAGCAGAAGGAACCUCAGGGGCAACCACCGGGGUUGUAGCUGCCAGCAGCAUGGCAACCAGUGGAGUGUUGCCCGGGGGUGGUUUUGUGGCCAGUGCUGCUGCAGUCGCAGGCCCUGAAAUGCAGACUGGCCGAAAUAACUUUGUCAUCCGGCGGAACCCAGCUGACCCUCAGCGCAUUCCCUCCAACC
rnacentral:sRNA from 1 species